rnacentral:lncRNA from 1 species
GCGACCCCCGACCCUGCGACCUCUGACUCGAUCACCCGUGACCCCGUAAUACCCCACCCUGCGAGCCCCGACCCCAAGACCCUUGACCUCUCUAACCGUGAACCACUCGUGACUCCGAGUCUCCCGACCCCGCCACCCACGAUGCCGCAACACCCCACCACUCGACCUCUGACCCUGCCCACGCGCUGUCCCUUGGCGCCCCCGCCUGCGCCCGACCAGCACGAGGCCGGAGGAGGACGACGACGACAACAGGACCUAGAGAGGAUUCAGUGACUUAUGAUGAUGUGCAUGUGAACUUCACUAAAGAAGAGUGGGAUUUGCUGGAUCCUUCCCAGAUGAAUCUCUACAAAGACGUGAUGCUGGAGACCUACUGGAACCUCAUUGCUAUAGGCUACAAUUGGGAAGAUCAUCAUAUUGAAGAACAAUGUCAAAGUUCUAAAAGUCAUGAAAGGAAUGUAAGAAGUCAUAGUGGAGAGAAACCCUAUGAAUGUAAUAAGUGUGGUAAAGCCUUUGCAAGACCCAUUUAUCUCCAAAAUCAUAAAAGAACACAUACUGGAGAGAAAGCUUAUGAAUGUAAUCAAUGUGAUGAAGCCUUUGCAAGACCCAGUCAACUCCAAAGACAUAAAAGAAUGCAUACUGCGGAGAAACCCUAUGACUGUAAUCAGUGUGGUAAAGCCUUUGCAAGACCCAGUCAUCUCCAAUAUCAUAAAAGCACACAUACUGGAGAUAAACCUUAUGAAUGUAAUCAAUGUGGUAAAGCCUUCGUAUGGCACAGUCAUCUCCAAAUACAUAAAAGAACACAUAGUGGAGAAAAACCUUAUGAAUGUAUUCUAUGUGGUAAAGCCUUUGCAAUACCCAGUCAUCUCCAAAGACAUAAAAGCAUACAUACUGGAGAGAAACCUUAUGAAUGUAAUCAAUGUGGUAAAGCCUUUUCACAGGGGAGUCAUCUCCAAUAUCAUAAAAGAACACAUACCGGAGAGAAAGCUUAUGAAUGUAAUCAAUGUGGUAAAGCCUUUUCACAGGGGAGUCAUCUCCAAUAUCAGAACACAUACGGGAGAGAAAGCUUAUGAAUGUAAUCAAUGUGAUGAAGCCUUUGCAAGACCCAGUCAACUCCAAAGACAUAAAAGAAUGCAUACUGCGGAGAAACCCUAUGAAUGUAAUCAGUGUGGUAAAGCCUAUGCAGAAGAGAGAACACUCCAAUAUCAUAAAAGAAUACAUACUGGAGAGAAACCUUAUAAUCAAUGAGGUGAAGCCUUUGCAACACCCAGUCAUCUCCAGUGUUAUACAAUAACACAUAUUGGAGAGAAACCUUAUGAAUAUAAUCAAUGUGAUGAAGCCUUUGCAAGACCCAGUCAUCUCCAAAGACAUAAAAGAACACAUACUGGAGAGAAGCCUUAUGAAUGUAUUCAAUUUGAUAAAGUCUUUUCAUGGCACAGUACUCUCCAGUAUCAUAAAAGAGCACAUACUGGGGAGAAACCUUAGGGAUGGCAUUAAUGUGGUAAAGCCUGUUCACAAGGGAGAAGUCUCCAAAAAUAUAAAAGAACACAUACUGGAGAGAAACCCUAUGAAUGUAAUCUAUGUGAUAAAAGCCUUUGCA